GUUUAAAAAAAAAUACUCAAGAUUUAUGAUUCCAAAAAUUACUGCUUUCCAGAAAUUUCCAAACGGAACAGUUGCGUCAUGGGCCUGCUGGUACAUUGACCACAGGGGCCCGCGGCUCUCCCUAUGAGUGUGAGUUUUAUAACUCCUUAAAGUAAUUUAUUUUGUUUCCAUUCAAGGCCUUUCUCUCCCACACUUGCUCCGGACCCUGACCUCAGAGGUUCGACUCCCCGGAGCCAAAUUCCUCUCGUUGGAAUCUAGUAAAUGAUUUAAUGGCGAAGGGGCAGGGGUUGGGGGCAGCCAAAGGGGUGAACUUUUGACAACUGGGUGGUCAGUAGCGACGACCGCAGGAGCGCGUGUCCUUGAAGCGGGGAAGAGCCCCUUUUCCUUGCCUGACAAUACCGCCGCCCCACGCGCGCUGACGCCUUUGAAAUCGAACUGCGCAGCUCUUUGGAGACAUACGGCGCAUACAGAGGCUAGAAAGGGAACGGAGUCCCAUGGGGCCUUCCCGCUUCGGGAGCCUCAGGCUUGCUGUGUUCCAAGAAAGAGUAUGACCAUCUGCAAGAGGCACAGAGAGAGAGAACCGCAGCCUCCAUGGGAACAAGGAAGUGGGAACGGGAUGAGAGUUUGGAAUCGAUCUCCGUGGAAGGUCUGAAUUGCAUGGCGGGUUUCCCUGGGGACAAUCUCAGCCAUAAAAAAGUUCCGCUCACAUGA